rnacentral:lncRNA from 1 species
UGGAGUCUGAUGACCAAGGGCAGGAAGCAUCCAGCACGGGACAAAGAAGAAAGCCAGAAGACUCAGCAAGCCAGCUCAUCUCACUUUCUUCUGCCUACUUUGUUGUAGCUGAGCUGGCAGCCAGUUGGAUGGUGCACACUCACAUUGAGGAUUGGGAGGCUGCUGUGUAUGGAUAAGAUACCUGCUACAGCCAGCUUGACACCAUGAGAAGGACAAGAGAAUUGCAGAGACACAUAUCCAGGAUUCUGAUCCAGUUGAGGCACUGAAAUAAUCUAGAACCACCUUCAAAUUUCUUAUAAAGAGAGCUAUGCUAUUAGGAUUUAAUUAAAUGGAUGCCAACAGCAAGUAAACCAUCUCCAAAGAUGCCAUGAAGCUCUCCUAAUUGCAGGAAAAUAUCAGAGGCACUUGAUUUGAGUCUUUCAAGUACGGAAAUAACAAAUUCAGUCUCAACAGACCUAUAGUGAAUGAGAAUGAUUGUCACAUAAUGUGUAGAGAAAAUGGAAGAAUCAAAGGCAAGGGAAACCUGUACAGUGGAGACACAAAGGGUCACUGGCAGAUUUCAAAUGAUCCAAGACAUCCUCAAAAUCCUUCCAAACCACAAGGAAAAUCACCAGGCCAAAAGUGAGGUUUGAAGUCUGGACAUGUACUGGUUUUCUCUAGCAAUCGACUCUCAAUUUUUGGACAUUGAGAUCUGCUGGUUGGAGAUCUUAGUGCCCAAGGAAGAAUGCUUGCAAAAGGAGAUGGAACAGUGUUUCUGUUGCAUUGGCCACUGAGAAUAUCUGGUUAUUUUGAAUUUGUCACAGUCUGCAGCUAAAAGGCGAACAGGAAAAGAAGAGAGAGCGGUAAUUUGAAUGAUAGCAGAUUUCACAUCAGGAACCAAUGAAGCUAGAUAAGAAUGCAACAUCUUUGAUGUCUAAAAGAAACAAAAAGCCAACCUUGAAUUCUUUAUUUAGUGAAGUUACCCUUCAGAAAUGACGGCAAAAUAAAGAUGUUUUCCAAUAAAAGACAACUAUGAGAAUUCUUCACCAGCAGUCCUAUUGUAUCAGAACAGCCAAAAGAAGUUUGUCAGCCUACAGGGAAUUAUAUCAAAGGGAAGACUUGACCUUGAAAAUGAAUGAGGAAUAUAAGAAAUUGAUAUUAUCUGGGAAGCGGCACAUGAGACUAGCAGGAGUAAAUGUUAUAUACACUGGGCCUCGCAAAAAUUCUGCAAUCACUGGGAAUCAGUAACCUGGUAGAAUGAGAAAACAACGUAAUACUGAAAAAUCAAAACACCAUCCUACAGAACUUUGAUGCAUUCAGAACAAAGAUCACGAAUCAAGCUGAAAAAGUAAAGCAUUCUGUGAGUUGUGGAAUGGAAAUUGCCUCAACCAUCUCACCACUUGAUGACACUUGUAAUUUCAGUGACCCAAUUCAAGCAAUCAAACAUCAAGUAAUACUCUCAAUAAAGAUGUGUAAUUAAAACAGAAGAGGAAACAGACUAACAGAAGUGAUGAAGAAUGGCAGUUCUAAGGAUGGCAGGAAUUCACUGAAUGUCUAUCUAUCAUGUAUGCUGUUGGAGGCACCUGUCUUUCAGUUCAGAGGUUAUGGAUGUAUCUAUCAUCAGUAUUUCGGGAAGUCAGGGACCCGGAACAGAGGGACUUAAUGAAGCUGUGGCAGAAGAAAAAAUUAUGAAGAUUUCAUGGACAUUUAUUAGUUCCCCAAAUUAAUACUUUUAUAAUUUCUUACA